GUGGGUGGUCCGGGAUGGGGCGGCGGCUUCCAACGAGAUCCGGAAAGAGGUUUCUUUUACCGGAAAAUUGACUGGAAUUUUGUCAUCCCGGGAUCUGGCGCCCGGAAGUGCCUUGGAGAGGGUUAGGGUGUUGGGAUAGACUCGCUGAGCGACUUCAUCUGUACUUUUUUUUUUUUUUUUUUUGAGGCUGUCUUUAGCAGUCCCUCCCGGACCAGACAUUCCGCAGGUUCUGGCUCUCUGGAACCCGGCUGAUCCCGACUUGCGGGUGUUCUCUACGCGCAGGAUGGACCUGCCUCUGCUCCAUAGCAUAGCCGGCUCCACACUCAACAUGGGGCUUGAACUCAUGACCCUGAGAUCAAGAGUCGCACUCUCUACCAACUGAGCCAGCCAGUGUGCAAGAGAAGGAGUGGAGGGGACAGAGGAUCCAAAGCAGACUCCAUGCUGACCCCAGAGAACCUGAUGAGGGGCUUGAAAUCACGAACCGUGAGAUCAUGACCUGAGCCGAAGUCAGAUGCUUAACUGACUGAGCCACCCAGGUGCACCUCAUUAUGGAAGUUUAAAAGACAUCUGCAAGUUUCUUCUUUCGUGUUUUGUCUUUGACACCAGCUCUUAGUCACAGAUACUAUUUGACAUUCUAUAGAAGAUCUCAUAUGACUCAUUUAAUUUAAAAACAUUAUGUAGUGAUUUGCUUUGAUUCUCUUCCUUUUUAUAUGUGGCUAAUAAAACAUGCAACAACAAAAAA